rnacentral:lncRNA from 1 species
GCAUGGCGUGCUCUUCCGGUGGGGACAUAGAGACCAUGAUGUGGUUCAAAUCUUCCUCAUCACUGGAGGCACUGAGCAAAAGCUGUAACGACCACAGCAUACGAGACUCAUGGGAAGGGAAGGCCUAUUUCAUGAUUGCUGUAUGAUCUGAUGCCACGGAUUCAAGCAUCCUUCCUCACUGGGACAGCUAUCCUAGGACACUUACUUACUAUCCUAGAUCACUAAACGGUAAGAGUUCUAACCAACUAGAAAAAGGAAUGAAAGAUACGUCAGUAUCUUGCUGAAGACUGGUGUUCAGGCAACAUGGUAUCUCAGAUAUGACAGGAACAGGAAAGGAUUUAAAGCCAGCCACCAUUCACCUAAGAAAGAAAGAGGAGUUCCAGGUUCAAUACCGGCAGAGUGGCCCUCUCAACCCAAACUUCCUACAGGAAGACUUCACAGAAAAUGGAUGUAAUAAACUAAAAAAAAAAUCCAUGUAAAGAUACUGGACAAUGACUCCAAAUAGAUGAAAACACAAGGGACU